UCGUCGGCCUGCUGGGGGCAGAUGAAGUGGAUGUGAGUAUCAAUACCGCCGGCCGUAACAAUCUUACCCUCGCCGGCAAUCACAUCGGUGCAGCUGCCCACAAUCAUACCGGGCGUCACGCCGUCCAUCACAUCCGGGUUCCCGGCCUUGCCAAUGUUCACGAUAUACCCAUCCUUGACGCCGAUGUCAGCCUUGAAGAUACCGGUCCAGUCGACGAUGAGCGCGUUAGUCACAACCAAAUCCAGGCUCUCAGCGCUGGUGCGCCCCGUCGCGGCACCCAUGCCGUCA
rnacentral:sRNA from 1 species